GGAAAAGUCUCCGAAUUGGACCGAGGUUUUGGCUAGCCCCCCAUUGUCAGACGUCCCGAGCGCGUUCCCGAAGUCGGAAUCGGCAAAGGUGAGCCGGGACAACCUUCUUCCUCCGCCCAGCCGCCACAGUGAUUGUCGUCAAGUCUGCCGCAGGAGGAUAUUUUAUUCUGGGUUAACCUGCUUUUAUACUUCGCAGGUUGUUUAUCGAUAUUUGUGUAAUUUUAUUUACUCCUAGAAUUUCCGCAUGUGUUAGCAGUAAUUAUUUGAAUUUGGUCUGUAAUAUUAUAUUCAUGUUGGACCUGUAAACUUAAUAUUUUAAGUCUGUUUUGAUGGAUUGGAUGAGGGAGCUGAGCUCCCAUUUAUUAUUAUGUUGAUGAGUAUGUGGAGGGUGAGCUGAGCUCCCCAAUGGAUUGUUUAUUGUGUUUACAGGUCGGGUGAGUCGAAAACUCCCCGUUGGAAAGUCCAUUUUAUGGCCGGACUCUGUCCGUUUGUUUUCUUGAAUUUGGGCCCAAUGGGCCUUAGAGUUGGGUUAAUGAACAGUUAGGCUUACUACGGGCCUCGGGGGCUUUAGGCUGGCCCAGGUCCUAGUGCCGGUCCGGCCCAUAGGUUGGGUCGUGACAAAUGUGGUAUCAGAGCUUAGGCUCCAGAUUCUUAGGGAAUGUUGUCUAAAGUGUUGGGAAGAGUCUACUAGGAGUCACAUGCGGAAAUAUAGGGUCCACAUUCGUCUUGCAUUGUCAUCUUUGCUUCUAGUUUCUGCUCCAUAUGUUAUGUAUAAAUAUGAGUCUAUAGAGCUGUGUAAUGAGCAGUUUUGAAUUUUGUGGGCUAAUGUUGCUGAAUUUCAGGAAAAUGCGUAGAAGCAGGAGAGCUGCCACUGCACCAGAACCAGAUGUGCCUGACGAGGUGUCAGCACAGGAUGAGGCGCCUGCCCCGAGGAGGCGGGGUAGGAGGCCUAGAGCUGCUCAAGUAGAAGAGCAGCU